rnacentral:rRNA from 1 species
AUUGAACGCUGGCGGCAGGCCUAACACAUGCAAGUCGAGCGGAUGAAGGGAGCUUGCUCCUGGAUUCAGCGGCGGACGGGUGAGUAAUGCCUAGGAAUCUGCCUGGUAGUGGGGGAUAACGUCCGGAAACGGGCGCUAAUACCGCAUACGUCCUGAGGGAGAAAGUGGGGGAUCUUCGGACCUCACGCUAUCAGAUGAGCCUAGGUCGGAUUAGCUAGUUGGUGGGGUAAAGGCCUACCAAGGCGACGAUCCGUAACUGGUCUGAGAGGAUGAUCAGUCACACUGGAACUGAGACACGGUCCAGACUCCUACGGGAGGCAGCAGUGGGGAAUAUUGGACAAUGGGCGAAAGCCUGAUCCAGCCAUACCGCGUGUGUGAAGAAGGUCUUCGGAUUGUAAAGCACUUUAAGUUGGGAGGAAGGGCAGUAAGUUAAUACCUUGCUGUUUUGACGUUACCAACAGAAUAAGCACCGGCUAACUUCGUG